GGAAGGAUCAUUAAUGAAUUUUAUGGCGGAAUUGUAGCUGGCCCCAACCGGGCAUGUGCACAUUCUGUUCAUUCCAUUCUCAUACACCUCUGUGCACUUUACAUAGGUUUGGUAUAGAAAAGGUCUUUAUUGACUUUGGAAAUACUGACCUAUGCUUUUACAAACGCUUCAGUUUUAGAAUGUCAUCCGCGUAUAACGCAAUAAAUACAACUUUCAGCAACGGAUCUCUUGGCUCUCGCAUCGAUGAAGAACGCAGCGAAAUGCGAUAAGUAAUGUGAAUUGCAGAAUUCAGUGAAUCAUCGAAUCUUUGAACGCAUCUUGCGCCCUUUGGUAUUCCGAAGGGCAUGCCUGUUUGAGUGUCAUGGUAUUCUCAAUACCCCAAAUCUUUGCGGAUAAGGGUGUGUUGGACUUGGAGGUUUUUGCAGGUAAUGAUUGUAUUACCAGCUCCUCUUAAAUGCAUUAGCAGAGAUAAUACUGCUACUCUCCAGUGUGAUAAUUGUCUACACUGUUAGUAGUGCGGUAUAACAAAAUGUCUAUGCUUCUAAUCGUCUUCGGACAACUUUUGACAAUCUGACCUCAAAUCAGGUAGGACUACCCGCUGAACUUAAGCAUAUC
rnacentral:rRNA from 1 species